rnacentral:rRNA from 1 species
AUUGAACGCUGGCGGAAUGCUUUACACAUGCAAGUCGAGCGGCAGCGCGGCCUUCGGGCUGGCGGCGAGCGGCGAACGGGUGAGUAAUGCAUCGGAACAUGCCCAGUCGUGGGGGAUAACACUUCGAAAGAAGUGCUAAUACCGCAUACGUCCUGAGGGGGAAAGCGGGGGAUCGCAAGACCUCGCGCGAUUGGAGUGGCCGAUGUCAGAUUAGCUAGUUGGUGGGGUAAAGGCCUACCAAGGCGACGAUCUGUAGCUGGUCUGAGAGGAUGAUCAGCCACACUGGGACUGAGACACGGCCCAGACUCCUACGGGAGGCAGCAGUGGGGAAUUUUGGACAAUGGGGGCAACCCUGAUCCAGCCAUUCCGCGUGAGUGAAGAAGGCCUUCGGGUUGUAAAGCUCUUUCGGCAGGAACGAAACGGUGGGCUCUAACGUAGUCCGCUAAUGACGGUACCUGAAGAAGAAGCACCGGCUAACUACGUG